UACGUAGGUGGCAAGCGUUGUCCGGAUUUACUGGGCGUAAAGGGAGCGUAGGCGGACUUUUAAGUGAGAUGUGAAAUACCCGGGCUCAACUUGGGUGCUGCAUUUCAAACUGGAAGUCUAGAGUGCAGGAGAGGAGAAUGGAAUUCCUAGUGUAGCGGUGAAAUGCGUAGAGAUAUGGAGGAACACCAGUGGCGAAGGCGACUUCCUGGUCUGUAACUGACACUGAGGCGCGAAAGCGUGGGGAGCAAACAGGAUUAGAUACCCCGGUA
rnacentral:rRNA from 1 species